AAGAACUAAUAAUCCGAAAAGUCAAAUGAUAGUGUAACAGCUUGAAGGGCUUUCUCUGAUAUUCCGAAUAGCAUUAUUAUUAAUAAGAAUAACGAUGUUAUAAGCUCGGUGAAGACGGCUGAGACUACACCCUAACAAGUAAAGUUGAGGAAAAGCGAACCAGAGGUGGUCGAGUGUAUGAUAGGCCGGGGGUCCAUAAA
rfam:Pseudobacteroides cellulosolvens ATCC 35603 = DSM 2933 ctg1, whole genome shotgun sequence.